ACCUUGGUAGCUCAGUCAGUAGAGCAUGAGACUCUUCAUCUUAGGGUCGUAGGUUCAAGCCCCACGUUGGGCA
rnacentral:tRNA from 1 species